CCCAGAACCCCACUGUCCCACAGCCCCCCAACAUCACAGUGGGAGUGGUCUACGACCGCGGGGCUUCCUCGGCUAAGGACUCUCCCUGCCCCGGAGUACAGCAGGACCUGAAUGGAGCCUGGACAGACCGCCGGAUCGUCCCAACUCAGCGUCUGGCCAGGUGGUGCUCAGCGUGGGCUCCAUGAGAUGAGGAGCCAGUCCUGCCCUCGCCCUGUCGGAGCACAGCACCGCCAGGAGGCGCCAAGCACAGGGCCUACAUCCCAGCCCCCCGCCAGGCAGAGCCCUACGGACGUGGCACAACGAUGGCACAGUCGGCCUGGCCUUGCUGCCCCUCUCCUGGGAGGCCUGUGCUGUGGCCUAGCAGGGGAACGGGGAGCACCUGUGUGAAGCCCUGCAGGGGUACCGUUGGCCGGACCUCAUUUCCCAGCUCCCUCUGCUCUCGGAAGACACAGGAUCGUGAUGGCAGGGAAGCAACUGUGGCUCUGCAGCCGGGCACGGAGCUCCGUGACUGCAGAGCCCAGCCACGCCCCGCACACAUCUGGCCAGGAACGCAGAGGCCCGUUCCACCUGCCCUCAGCUGUGAGUCUCCCGGAGAGAGGUCUACAUGCCCAGUACCUCACCGUCUGUGCCCACCUGGGCAGCUGGCAUGCAGGGACUGUCACGUCACAGCAGAGGACGCUCCUAGGCAAGCUGCCUUUUCUAUUUGCACCUGGCUGAAUUUGCAUCUGCCCGGACCUCACGUGGUUCCUUUACCCAAGCCCUCUGAUAGACACUCGCUGUUUGCUUUAGGCAGCGUCAGGGGCAGGAACGGCAUGGCAAUGUGGGCGGGGAGAGGAAUGAGCGUGCAGUUUGGGGAAAAGAAGGUGGGGCACCAGAAAAAUGCACAUGGGGAGGGAGAGGAUGUCAGUUAUGUCACCAAACUCGUAUUUCUGUCCUUGGUCUCCUUCCCAGGGGUCACCGGCAGCCCCAUCCAGGCAGCUCUGGCCCUUGCCCAGCUCAGAACUGAGCAUGGCGCGAGGUGCGGAGGUGCAAGGGAGGCCCUUUAAUUCAGCCAGAACAGGCUAAUAGGAGGGAAACGGCUAACAGGAGUGUCUCCGAUGCUGCCUUCUAGCAUAACUGUUUUCAUCGCUAGAGAACAGGGUCCUGCCACCAGAGAUGUCUGGGCCCUAGAAAACCACUCACCUUGGCCACAGAUGGUGUAGUGGUUAAGGUGCUGGACUCCCACAUGGAUGGCCCUAGUUCGAGUCC